GUCUGUGUGUAUAAGUUAUAAAGUCUAGCCUGCCCACUGAUUGAUUUAAAGGGCCGCGGUAAUUUGACCGUGCGAAGGUAGCAUAGUCAGUAGUCUUUUAAUUGAAGGCUUGAAUGAAAGGUUGGACGAGGGAUGAGCUGUCUCCUUUACGUAAUUUGAAUUUAACUUUUGAGUGAAAAGGCUCAAAUUAUUUAGUGGGACGAUAAGACCCUAUAAAACUUUAUAUAAGUUUAAUUUGGCUUACAAUUUGAGUAAAAAGUAGCUUUAUUAGGCUUAUAUUUCGUUGGGGAGAUGUAGAUAUAAUGUGUAACUGUCUGUUUAAUUUAAUAAUUAUAAUUAGUGUGUGAUCCUUCUUUGUGGAUUAAAAGUAUAAGUUACUUUAGGGAUAACAGCGUGAUUUUCUUUGAGAGUUCUUAUCGACAAGAGUAGUUGCGACCUCGAUGUUGAAUUAAAAUUUCAGUUAGGUGUAGCCGUCUAGCUGGUAGGUCUGUUCGACCUUUAAAUUUACAUGAUCU
rnacentral:rRNA from 1 species